rnacentral:rRNA from 1 species
CGCCUCUUGAUAAUUAUAAGAGGUCUAGCCUGCCCAGUGACAUAGUUAAACGGCCGCGGUACUCUGACCGUGCGAAGGUAGCAUAAUCACUUGUUCUUUAAAUAAGGACUAGUAUCAACGGCAUCACGAGGGUUAUACUGUCUCCUCCCUCCAAUCAGUGAAACUGAUUUCCCCGUGAAGAAGCGGGGAUAAGACCAUAAGACGAGAAGACCCCAUGGAGCUUUAAACCCAACGACAACCUCUAUAUAUAAACCCCUUAAUAAUUGCAGAGGUCCUGCCUGUUGGUUUUAGGUUGGGGUGACCGCGGAGUAAAAUCUAACCUCCACGAUGAACGGGAUUAAGCCCUAAUCAAAGAGCGACUGCUCUAAGAAUCAACAAAUUGACGUAAAAUGAUCCGACAAUCGAUCAACGAACCAAGUUACCCUGGGGAUAACAGCGCAAUCCAUUUCAAGAGCCCCUAUCGACAAAUGGGUUUACGACCUCGAUGUUGGAUCAGGGUAUCCCAGUGGUGCAGCCGCUACUAAAGGUUUGUUUGUUCAACAAUUAAAACCC